rnacentral:rRNA from 1 species
UACGUAGGGGGCUAGCGUUGUCCGGAAUCAUUGGGCGUAAAGAGCGUGUAGGCGGCCCGGUAAGUCCGCUGUAAAAGUCAAAGGCUCAACCUUUGAAUGUCAGUGGAUACUGCCGGGCUAGAGUCCGGAAGAGGCGAGUGGAACUCCUGGUGUAGCGGUGGAAUGCGCAGAUAUCAGGAAGAACACCAACGGCGAAGGCAGCUCGCUGGGACGGUACUGACGCUGAGACGCGAAAGCGUGUGGAGCGAACAGG